UACGUAGGGUGCAAGCGUUAUCCGGAAUUAUUGGGCGUAAAGAGCUCGUAGGCGGUUUGUCGCGUCUGCUGUGAAAACUGGAGGCUCAACCUCCAGCCUGCAGUGGGUACGGGCAGACUAGAGUGCGGUAGGGGAGAUUGGAAUUCCUGGUGUAGCGGUGGAAUGCGCAGAUAUCAGGAGGAACACCGAUGGCGAAGGCAGGUCUCUGGGCCACUACUGACGCUGAGAAGCGAAAGCGUGGGGAGCGAACAGG
rnacentral:rRNA from 1 species